ACACGUCGAUUGAAGCAAUGAAACCUACGACCGAAGCAAACUUUUAACCCUAAUCUUUGUCCUCAUCUUCGCGCCUGCGAUCGAAUCCUCGAAGAUUUUGUCAGCCGGGAGUCGAAUCCGACUCUCGAAUACCCACAACACUUGUCGAGUGCCCAGGGAUUUCCAAUUGUUAUAUGUUUACACAAGAUUACCUGGCAGUAGUUUGCUUUGCUGUGGAGGAAUAUUAUUCCUUGAUUUGAUCUGAGCGCAAGAUGCAUGUUGGCUGUGAACGUCAAAGCUUGCCUUUUCUUGUGGUCCUAAGAACAACAAAAAAGAAAAAAGAAUUUACUCAAAGAAAAGACAAUACAGAAAGAAAUAAGAGUAGUAGAAAUGUUCUUUUGUCAUAACUCCUUAAUUCCACUAUUCCUUCUCUCUGUGGUCAUACAUGCUCUUCCUUUCUUCACUGUCAAGCCUCUAAAUCAAAACCUUAUUCCCCCUUUGAAAGAGACACAAAUGUACACCACUUGGAGAAUCUCCAAAAACAUCUCUUAGUAGCUUUUUUCUUUUCUUUUCAACCUUGUGAGAUAGCCUCAAUGAUCAUUUUUUUGCCUUUCCUUCUAUCCACUUUAUUGUUUGUUGCUUUUCGCAGGAAUUAUCUAUCAAAAUAAUGUAUAAACUGAAUCUUUUAUUAGUUAGCUAUGAGAUCAUGUUAACUUUGAUGCUUAC